rnacentral:rRNA from 1 species
UACGUAGGGUGCGAGCGUUAAUCGGAAUUACUGGGCGUAAAGCGUGCGCAGGCGGUUUUGUAAGCCAGAUGUGAAAUCCCCGGGCUUAACCUGGGAAUGGCAUUUGGGACUGCAAGGCUCGAGUGCGGCAGAGGAGACUGGAAUUCCUGGUGUAGCAGUGAAAUGCGUAGAUAUCAGGAGGAACACCGGUGGCGAAGGCGGGUCUCUGGGCCGUAACUGACGCUGAGGAGCGAAAGCAUGGGGAGCGAACAGG